UCACUGUUGAGGAGUCCCACAAUAGGACGAAACGGUCGUCCAGUGC
rnacentral:hammerhead_ribozyme from 1 species